CCUACGGGAGGCAGCAGUGAGGAAUAUUGGUCAAUGGACACGAGUCUGAACCAGCCAAGUAGCGUGAAGGAUGACUGCCCUAUGGGUUGUAAACUUCUUUUAUAUGGGAAUAAAAUGUUCCACGUGUGGGUUUUUGUAUGUACCAUAUGAAUAAGGAUCGGCUAACUCCGUGCCAGCAGCCGCGGUAAUACGGAGGAUCCGAGCGUUAUCCGGAUUUAUUGGGUUUAAAGGGAGCGUAGGCGGAUGGUUAAGUCAGUUGUGAAAGUUUGCGGCUCAACCGUAAAAUUGCAGUUGAAACUGGCAGUCUUGAGUACAGUAGAGGUGGGCGGAAUGCGUGGUGUAGCGGUGAAAUGCUUAGAUAUCACGAAGAACUCCGAUUGCGAAGGCAGCUCACUAGACUGCAACUGACACUGAGGCUCGAAAGUGUGGGUAUCAAACAGGAUUAGAUACCCUAGUAGUC
rnacentral:rRNA from 1 species